UUGGAGGGCAAGUCUGGUGCCAGCAGCCGCGGUAAUUCCAGCUCCAAUAGCGUAUAUUAAAGUUGUUGCAGUUAAAAAGCUCGUAGUUGAACUUCGGAAUUUGCCCAUUGGUCAGGCUUAACUGUCUGCACUGGUGUGACGAGUUCCUACCUUCUGAGGAAUCUCCAUGUCAUUCAGUUGGUGUGGGGGGGAAUCAGGACUGUUACUUUGAAAAAAUUAGAGUGUUUAAAGCAGGCAUCCGUCUGAAUACAUUAGCAUGGAAUAAUAAAAUAGGACGGUUUGGUUCUAUUUUGUUGGUUUCUAGGAUCACCGUAAUGAUUAAUAGGGAUAGUUGGGGGCAUUAGUAUUCAAUUGUCAGAGGUGAAAUUCUUGGAUUUAUUGAAGACUAACUACUGCGAAAGCAUUUGCCAAGGAUGUUUUCAUUAAUCAAGAACGAAAGUUAGGGGAUCGAAGACGAUCAGAUACCGUCGUAGUCUUAACCAUAAACUAUGCCGACUAGGGAUCGGACGAAGUUAAUUUUUUAAUGACUCGUUCGGCACCUUACGGGAAACCAAAGUGUUUGGGUUC
rnacentral:rRNA from 1 species